CCCCUUACCUCGGACUCCAAACUUCACAAGCACCAGGUCACACCCAGAUGCAACCAGAAGGGACAGCUUAACACGCAGGGAUCAACUGUACUCAUCCUCAGACGCCUGCAGGACUCUCAAGACUUCUCUUCACAGAAACGAUCAGUCCCUCCCUCUGUGAAGUGUUUAUGGAUGUGGAAACACACACUAUGGAAACAUUAAGAGAAGGUAGAAUGUUCUGGAACUGAUGUUAUAAUGUCAGUUCAACAAAUUAAAAGGCUGAUUCCAUGAUGGGGAGGACAGAUCUCUGCAGAAAAGUUUCUUCCUCCACCUCCAAUCCCUACUCCUCAGACUGGGGUUUUCAGGAAGCACAAGCAUCAUUCCAGGUCUUUGUUGCUGCAAGCAAGGUUUCUCUAGCUGCCGCAAGCAGGAACUACGC